GGCAGCGUGGCACAGUGGUUAAGGUGCUGGCCUCGGGCCUGGGAGAGAGGGACCAGGGUUCAAAUCCCUCCCAGUCUGCCU